AUUGAACGCUGGCGGCAUGCUUUACACAUGCAAGUCGAACGGUAACAGGCCUUCGGGUGCUGACGAGUGGCGAACGGGUGAGUAAUGCAUCGGAACGUGCCCAGAGGUGGGGGAUAACGCAGCGAAAGCUGUGCUAAUACCGCAUGUGAUCUGAGGAUGAAAGCGGGGGACCAGGCAGCAAUGUUUGGCCUCGCGCCUUUGGAGCGGCCGAUGUCAGAUUAGGGAGUUGGUGGGGUAAAGGCCUACCAAGCCGACGAUCUGUAGCUGGUCUGAGAGGACGACCAGCCACACUGGGACUGAGACACGGCCCAGACUCCUACGGGAGGCAGCAGUGGGGAAUUUUGGACAAUGGGCGCAAGCCUGAUCCAGCAAUGCCGCGUGCGGGAAGAAGGCCUUCGGGUUGUAAACCGCUUUUGUACGGAACGAAAAGGCUCUGGCUAAUACCUGGGGCUGAUGACGGUACCGUAAGAAUAAGCACCGGCUAACUACGUG
rnacentral:rRNA from 1 species